rnacentral:sRNA from 1 species
AUUAAUAUGUAUAACUUGUGUAUGCAGCAUCCCACGCAGAUCAAGUUUGUUAUAUUCCGUAUCCAUAUACAAAGAAACCAAAAAGCAUUUGGCUAAAUGUUUUAAAAGUUAAUCCUCGGGGAAACAUUUAUGGAGAAUAUGAAAACAAUGAUCCGACUCUUUUGCAAACAAAAAAUGAUGAAGCUGUGUUGCUGACUACAAUUGAAGAUCUGGUAUUAGACAAUCCGGUAGAAAGCUUAAACCCAAUCAUACUCGAUUACGAUGUCGGAGAUGCUGAACCAGAAGAUGAAUUCCGAUGUAAUUUAUCGUCUUCAAACGAUGAUGAAGUCGAAGAUGAUGAAGAGUACUAAAUGUGUGCUUUAUAUGUAUAUUAAUUUUCCUAUUUA